rnacentral:rRNA from 1 species
UACGGAGGGUGCAAGCGUUGCUCGGAAUUAUUGGGCGUAAAGGGGAGGUAGGUGGUCUCAUUUGUCGGGGGUGAAAGCCUUGAGCUUAACUCAAGAAGUGCCCCUGAAACGGUGAGACUGGAGUCCCAGAGAGGCUUGUGGAAUUCCCGGUGUAGCGGUGAAAUGCGUAGAGAUCGGGAGGAACACCAGAGGCGAAGGCAGUGUCCUGGGGAGUACCUGACGCUCAGGUGCGAAAGCCAGGGGAGCGAACGGG